AAGUCGUAACAAGGUCUCCGUUGGUGAACCAGCGGAGGGAUCAUUACCGAGUUUACAACUCCCAAACCCAAUGUGAACGUUACCAAUCUGUUGCCUCGGCGGGAUCUCUGCCCCGGGCGCGUCGCAGCCCCGGAUCCCAUGGCGCCCGCCGGAGGACCAACCAAACUCUUUUUUCUCUCCGUCGCGGCCUACGUCGCGGCUCUGUUUUAUUUUGCUCUGAGCCUUUCUCGGCGACCCUAGCGGGCGUCUCGAAAAUGAAUCAAAACUUUCAACAACGGAUCUCUUGGUUCUG
rnacentral:misc_RNA from 1 species